UACGUAGGGGGCAAGCGUUGUCCGGAUUUAUUGGGCGUAAAGAGCGUGUAGGCGGCUAGAUAGGUCCGUUGUGAAAACUCGAGGCUCAACCUCGAGACGUCGAUGGAAACCAUCUGGCUAGAGUCCGGAAGAGGCGAGUGGAAUUCCCGGUGUAGCGGUGAAAUGCGCAGAUAUCGGGAGGAACACCAAUGGCGAAGGCAGCUCGCUGGGACGUGACUGACGCUGAGACGCGAAAGCGUGGGGAGCAAACAGGG
rnacentral:rRNA from 1 species